UAGAAAUCCAGUGUUACAAUUUUAUUUGCAAGCCCAUAGGAUUUCUUCAGUUUCAGUAGGAUCAUCAAGCUAAGUCACAAGGACCAAUUUUCUCUUGACCUAAAGUCUUCAUACUCGAGCAACAACAUGGAUGGACCUUGAGGACAUUAUGCUAAUGGGUGAUCCAGAAGAAGACAGUCUACAGGGAGAAGUAAAAAUGAAGUAAAGAGAUCAGUAGUCUCAGAUCUGCCUUUCUUUCCACCACUCAGUUUCUUCCUACAGCUCAGGAUGCUGGUUGAGGCUCCACAGCACCCUCUUGAAGACCUACAGCACCUUCUCAAGGAUCCACGGCCCCCUCUGGAGGCUCUGUUGCACCCUUUUGGGGAUCUAUAGCACCGUCUUGCCACUUUUCCUGGCUCCCCAGGGCUUCCUCCCAGUGCCUAUUCUCUGCUCUCUUUGCUGGCUUCCAACUGCCAUUAAUUCUAAUACAUGCCCUUCCCUAACAUGUUUACCUGGGGAAGAAUCUAAGUAAUUAAUUCUCACUAGGUAUUACUGAUUAAUUUAUUAGAAUCCUAAAAAGUUGUGCAUUUUAACAGGAAUUCCCUUCACCCAAAGGGUUGUUAGAGGUGGGACGGACCUUAAAAGUAAAAGCGAUUGAAGCCAAGUCUCUCCUCCUCCCUCCACACUUCAUUUGUAAGCUACAUACAGCCACACCAGGGCUGAUGCUGUCUGUACUAGUCCUUCUUAUACUACAUUGCCUCCAGUGAAGGAGCUCCCAGCACCAGGACAGAUGUGUUAGGGAUAUUUCUGAAGCAAGAGAGCCUUUUCAGCAUGCUUAAACAUUCCUUAUAGGCUAUGAUCUUCUUAACUCACACAUUAGGCUUUCCUGAGAAAGCAGACAGCAAUACCAUUAGCCCUGGAUAUAAAAACUUAUCUACCACUACUUUAAAUAUAUUUUUUAAAUUUUGGAUAACAGGUUUUGGUUAAAUAAUCCAUCCUUAUGAUGGAUUCUUUAAUCUCUUUGUCUCUGAAGAUGAUCAUAUGCAGUAGUUGGAGAGCUAAGAACAUCAACUUCUCACUUUUGCAUCUAAAAAGUAGUGGUUUAGAGUACGGAAUCUAGACUACAUUGCCUGGGGUUGAAUUGCAACUCUACCAUCACCAGUGUGUGACUUCAAACAAAUUAUUAACCUUUCUGUUCCUCAACUCACUUGUCUGUAAAAAUACUACUUACCUGUUAGGGUUCUUUGGGGAUCAAAUGCAUUAAUGCAAAAAUAGUGCUUAGAACAAUGCCUGACACCUGGUAAGCACUCAAUAAAUGGUAAUUGUUGUUAAUAUCAUCAUCACCACCAUCACACCACCACGACCAUCAUCACCAUCAUCACGAUUAUCAUCACCUUGGGUAGUUAUUUACUCAGAGAAAGUUAAUCAUACGAUUACCAGAUCCUCACUUCGCUUUGUGCCCACAUAGAUAUGGUCAUAAUGUUGCUACUCACUGCUAAUGUUGUACUUUUGUCUUUGACAAUUAUUUUCCUCUACUUUUACCAUAAUUGGUUUCAAGAAAUGCUAAUUCGUUUUAUGAAACUAAAUGAAUUCCAUGAGUCAUCUUUGUCUACAUUAAAAAGAAGAAAGUAAUAUUUCAAGUGGGAGCACGCUGAAUGGAUGUAUGGAGACUUUCUCCCUAUCUGGAAUGUAAUAUUAAAUAUUUCAGGACUAUGAUUUAGUGUUACAGAACAUUCAAAAGUUUCUAGACAUCCUUAUAUUUGGGCUUCCAUUUUUAGCUAUAAUGUCCUUUAUAUAUGCUCUUACCGUCUUUCAUACUAUAACGUAUAACAUAUUUGUUUUAAAGCUUCAAGCAAUUGGAUCCAGAACAAUAAAAAAAAU
ensembl:lncRNA